rnacentral:rRNA from 1 species
GCGGCGCGCCCAACACAUGCAAGUCGAACGAGUGAGAGAGAGCUUGCUUUCUCGAGCGAGUGGCGUACGGGUGAGUAACGCGUGAGGAACCUGCCUCAAAGAGGGGGACAACAGUUGGAAACGACCGCUAAUACCGCAUAAGCCCACGGCUCGGCAUCGAGCAGGGGGAAAAGGAGUAAUCUGCUUUGAGAUGGCCUCGCGUCCGAUUAGCUAGUUGGUGAGGUAAUGGCCCACCAAGGCAACGAUCGGUAGCCGGACUGAGGGGUUGAACGGCCUCAUUGGGACUGAGACACGGCCCAGACUCCUACGGGAGGCAGCAGUGGGGAAUAUUGCACAAUGGGGGAAACCCUGAUGCAGCGACGCCGCGUGGAGGAAGAAGGUCUUCGGAUUGUAAACUCCUGUUGUUGGGGAAGAUAAUGACGGUACCCAACAAGGAAGUGACAGCUAACUACGUGCCAGCAGCCGCGGUAAAACGUAGGUCACAAGCGUUGUCCGGAAUUACUGGGUGUAAAGGGAGCGCAGGCGGGAAGACAAGUUGGAAGUGAACUCUAUGGGCUCAACCCAUAAACUGCUUUCAAAACUGUUUUUCUUGAGUAGUGCAGAGGUAGGCGGAAUUCCCGGUGUAGCGGUGGAAUGCGUAGAUAUCGGGAGGAACACCAGUGGCGAA